UACCUCCUACGGGAGGCAGCAGUGGGGGAUAUUGCACAAUGGGGGAAACCCUGAUGCAGCGACGCCGCGUGAGUGAAGAAGUAUUUCGGUAUGUAAAGCUCUAUCAGCAGGGAAGAAAAAAGACGGUACCUGACUAAGAAGCCCCGGCUAAAUACGUGCCAGCAGCCGCGGUAAUACGUAUGGUGCAAGCGUUAUCCGGAUUUACUGGGUGUAAAGGGAGCGCAGGCGGUGCGGCAAGUCUGAUGUGAAAGCCCGGGGCUCAACCCCGGGACUGCAUUGGAAACUACCGAACUAGAGUGUCGGAG
rnacentral:rRNA from 1 species